rnacentral:rRNA from 1 species
AACGAACGCUGGCGGCAUGCCUAACACAUGCAAGUCGAACGAGACCUUCGGGUCUAGUGGCGCACGGGUGCGUAACGCGUGGGAACCUGCCCUUAGGUUCGGAAUAACUCCCCGAAAGGGGUGCUAAUACCGGAUAAUGUCUUCGGACCAAAGAUUUAUCGCCUUUGGAUGGGCCCGCGUUGGAUUAGCUAGUUGGUAGGGUAAAAGCCUACCAAGGCGACGAUCCAUAGCUGGUCUGAGAGGAUGAUCAGCCACACUGGGACUGAGACACGGCCCAGACUCCUACGGGAGGUAGCAGUGGGGAAUAUUGGACAAUGGGCGAAAGCCUGAUCCAGCAAUGCCGCGUGAGUGAUGAAGGCCUUAGGGUUGUAAAGCUCUUUUACCCGGGAUGAUAAAGACAGUACCGGGAGAAUAAGCUCCGGCUAACUCCGUG